GUCAUGGAGGAAGUCAUUGAGGCUCCAGGCAGAGGAGAUCAUGGAGGCGGUCAUGGUGGAGGUCAUGGAGGCUCCAGGCAGAGGGGAUCAUGGAGGCGGUCAUGGUGGAGGUCAUGGAGGAGGUCAUGGAGGCUCCAGGCAGAGGAGAUCACGGAGGAGGUCAUGGAGGACGUCAUAGAGGAGGUCAUGGUGGAGGUCAUGGAGGAAGUCAUUGAGGCUCCAGGCAGAGGAGGUCAUGGUGGAGGUCGUGGUGGAGGUCAUGGAGGUGGUCAUGGAGGCUCCAGGCAGAGGAGAUCAUGGAGGAGGUCAUGGAGGCGGUCAUGGAGGAAGUCAUUGAGGCUCCAGGCAGAGGAGAUCAUGGAGGCGGUCAUGGAGGACGUCAUAGAGGAGGUCAUGGUGGAGGUCAUGGAGGAAGUCAUUGAGGCUCCAGGCAGAGGAGGUCAUGGUGGAGGUCAUGGUGGAGGUCAUGGAGGUGGUCAUGGAGGCUCCAGGCAGAGGAGAUCAUGGAGGACGUCAUAGAGGAGGUCAUGGUGGAGGUCAUGGUGGAGGUCAUGGAGGAAGUCAUUGAGGCUCCAGGCAGAGGAGGUUAUGGUGGAGGUCAUGGUGGAGGUCAUGGAGGUGGUCAUGGAGGCUCCAGGCAGAGGAGAUCAUGGAGGCGUUCAUGGUGGAGGUCAUGGAGGAGGUCAUGGAGGAGGUCAUGGAGGCUCCAGGCAGAGGAAGUCAUGGAGGCGGUAAUGGAGGCAGUCAUGGAGGCGGUCAUGGAGGGUCAUUUAGGAAGUCAUGGAGGCUCCAGGCAGAGGCGGUCAUGGAGGCGGUCAUGGAGGCUCCAGGCAGAGGAGAUCAUGGAGGAGGUCAUGGAAGUGGUCAUGGAGGCUCCAGGCAGAGGAGAUCAUGGAGGCGUUCAUGGUGGAGGUCAUGGAGGAGGUCAUGGAGGCUCCAGGCAGAGGAGGUCAUGGAGGCGGUAAUGGAGGCAGUCAUGGAGGCGGUCAUGGAGGGUCAUUGAGGAAGUCAUGGAGGCUCCAGGCAGAGGCGGUCAUGGAGGCGGUCAUGGAGGAAGUCAUUGAGGCUCCAGGCAGAGGAGGUUAUGGUGGAGGUCAUGGAGGAGGUCAUGGAAGUGGUCAUUGAGGGGGUCAUGGAGGACGUCAUGGAGGAGGUCAUGGUGGAGGUCAUGGUGGAGGUCAUGGAGGAGGUCAUGGAGGAGGUCAUGGAGGCUCCAGGCAGAGGAAGUCAUGGAGGCGGUAAUGGAGGCAGUCAUGGAGGCGGUCAUGGAGGGUCAUUGAGGAAGUCAUGGAGGCUCCAGGCAGAGGCGGUCAUGGAGGCGGUCAUGGAGGUGGUCAUGGAGGCUCCAGGCAGAGGAGAUCAUGGAGGCGUUCAUGGUGGAGGUCAUGGAGGAGGUCAUGGAGGCUCCAGGCAGAGGAGGUCAUGGAGGCGG